UUUUUUUUUCCAUUAAUAACUGAGCUUUGGCUCUUUCUCUAAACUGGGAUUUUUUUUUCUUUUUAAAACUUUUUUGCAGGUUUUAUGAGAUUGUACAGCAUGAACAUAAAUUUUAAAUUUUGCAAGUUUGAGAAUUGUUUUAUGGGGGUUUUUUAUUGAAAAAAAAAAUUAUAGAAAGAUUUUCAUAUUUUUUUUUUCUAUUGAAGAAAUCGUGUAUUGAUGUUGAUAUGUAUUUUACAUUCACGUGUAAGGUACAUGUAAAUAGGCCAGUUUUAAUACUACCUGUACAUGUAUUAUGAUUUUGUAGUAUUUCAUUAAGACUUAUGAUUUAUGUGCAAUUUUGUCAUACUUUUGUAUCUAAAAAAUGGUCAUAAUAUGUUAAUAGCUAAAAAAAAAAAUACCAGAUAAAUAAAAUCAUGAAUUUAUUGAUAUUAAAAGCUAUUAAAUUUAAACCAUCAAUAGUAUUUUUAAAGGUCAUUAUGGGUUUGAAUCACAUGUUGAUAAGGAAUUGCAUGUUUUAAUUUACAUGUUCGUGUAUGUAGUUUGGAAAGAUUUUUUUUUCCCACUAAAAAUGAACCUUACAGUCUUUAUAUAAAUUCUAAUACAGUGUAUUAUGGGUUUUUUUUAGUAAACUGGUCUGAAGUGUACAUAUUUUAGUUAUCAUUCUGAUAAAAAAAAAUUAGAGAAAAUAUGCUUGCAGUACACUGUAUUCAUGUCUUGUAUAAAUAAAAGUCAUUGGUUAC
rnacentral:misc_RNA from 1 species